AAACUUUCAACAACGGAUCUCUUGGUUCUGGCAUCGAUGAAGAACGCAGCGAAAUGCGAUAAGUAAUGUGAAUUGCAGAAUUCAGUGAAUCAUCGAAUCUUUGAACGCACAUUGCGCCCCCUGGUAUUCC
rnacentral:rRNA from 3 species